GUAACACAUCCUUACAUUGUUAAACAAAUGCAGCAGAAACAAAUGUAACACAUCUUUACAAAGCUGAAAUAAUAUACCACAGCAGAAAUGUGCUGGGCUGGGUAGGUCAGGGAUCUAGAUAAGAGCCCUUUGCGUCUUGCCUGGGAACCACGACUCCACUGAUGAGGAAGGCAAGUGUCCAAAGAGAGAAAUGGGUUGCAGUGAUGUGGACAACUGCAUCAAGACAGCCAUUGCUCUGGACACGAGGACCCAGGGUGUCUUGGCUGGAUGGUUCUGACGUUUUCAUGGUAAACACACAAAGGUGCUUCACAGAGACUGGCAGAACCUGCCUCUAAUGCAUCCAGGGGACACUAAACACUUUAGUCUAUUCUCCCGUGAAUAAUUCUCCAAGUCUAACCACAUUAGGCCCCUGUGGGGAGGUGGUUUGAGCCACUCUGUCAGAUAUCUUUGCCACUUAAGUGAAUGAUGAAGAGUAGGCCAGCCACAGUGCCUGGGUCUGUGGAGGAGGCAGCCAGCCAGCAGAGCUGGCCUCAGAGGUUUUAUUUCUCUGGCUGUGUAAUCAGAUUGAAGGCAGAAUGUUUUUUUCUGUGUCUUCUCUGUCUAUUCUCUCUUUGGGUACCAUCCCCUCUCCUCCACCCUUCUACCCCACCAUUGGUCCUGUGGUUGUCAUGGUAACAGCUUUGGCCCCAUCAUUCCAGGUUCUCACUCUGGAGAACAGAGAUUCAAAAAGAUCCCACAGUGGCCUGUUCCCUCAGAGAGGGAAGUUCUGUACCCUCAGAGAGCAACAGGAAGAGGAAGUGUCUGUCAGCCGAGCAGGAGCAACGUGACUUCUGCCCUUGUAGCAGAAUGACAAGAUGGCAGUUUAGUUGCAUGGGACUGACUUAGUUCUGACCGCUGCUCGUGCUGUGGAGGGAUGGGAGCACCUGACGCAUCACCUCACUUUCCGUCUGUUCCCCCGCCCAUGUUGAUAUUUUUAGAAGAAUGGUUAAAUACAUCAACCUUCAAAAAGAGUAAUUAUUAAACAUCCUUUGCCAUAAAA